GGUCUGGUGCAUGUGAUGGGGGUCUGGUGCAUGCCAUGGGGGUCCGGUGCAGGUGUCGUGACCAUGACCUGUGUCUGAUGCAUGCCGUGGGGGUCUGGUGCACGCCACACGGGUCCAGCGCUUGCGAUGCCGGGCCAGUGGCGUGCCGUGGGUGUGUGCAGUGUGUCUGCUGCAUAGGAGGUGGGUCCGGUGCCCGUGCUGUGGGUCCGGUGCGUGCGCCACGGUUCUGGUGCCCACCCCGGGGGGGGUGGUGCAGGCAAUGCAGGUCCGGUGCGUGCGCUGCGGGUCCGGCGAGCGUGACGUGUGUCCGCCUCCAUUUGUAAGUCCCAGCCGGUUAUUUUGGGAUUCUGACAAACCUGUUUUGUAAAUACACUCUAGUCUUCCUUCACACUCCACCUGCAUUGCAUUUCUUGCCAUCUUAAAUCUGUGACUCUCAAAGCAUUUUGCAAACAACUGGAAACAAUUAUAUUUAUUUUUUUACUUUCAGACUAUGAUGUUAGAUUAUUUGCAAGCACCAAAACAAAGGUAUGAAUAUGAACUGUAUAGUAAUUACUGCAACCCAGAAUUUAGAGAUUUGAAUUAGGUCAUUUUAAAUCUGCAUUUUUAAAAAAUUAAUAGCCUUUUGCAGCUUCUACUUUGGCAGGGAAAUCCAUGAAGAAGUCUUAGGAACAGCUAGGAUCCCUUUUCCCUGAAUUUAGACAGUAAGGAGGGAAGAAAGAAGGAAAUAUCCACAUUUAUCUGAGCUUUGAUUUCUCUCCUCAGGUACUGGUGUGAGAGUAUUUUUCUUCCUCAUAAAGAACAAGUUGUAAUUCUGCAUCUCGACUCUAAGAGGUGAAGCUGCUCUGCUCUAAUGAACCUGCAGAACUGUUUGCCUGGAGACCCUGCCUCUGAGCUCUCUCAGAGCUACACAACAGAAGAAACUGUGCAAUUAACAUGAGGCUGCUGCACAUGGGUUACAGCAGAUCUUUCUGUAUCACCUUGUGUAAAGUUGAUCUCUUUUCUUUGUCUUAUCAUUAUCCCUACACAUAACUUCUUUGAAUGAUCUGUCA